UGGAGCAUCAGGUGGCUUGUGCUGAGAAGUUUGAUCUAUAACUCAGAUUGAACGCUGGCGGAUGUAUUUACACAUGCAAGUCGAACGGCAGCACGGACUGGUCUGUUUGGCAGUGGCGAACAGGUGGUAAUGUAUCGGAACGUGCCUAGUAGCGGCAAGGAUAACUACGCGUAUGCUUCAACUACAUACCCUUCAGGGAAAGCAGAGACCUUCGGGCUCACCUAUGCGACGGCCGAUAUCGGAUUAGCUAGUUGGUGGGGUAACGGCUCACCAAGGCGGUGAUCAUAGCUGGUUUUGAAGGACGACCAGCCACACUGGGACCAGGAACUGCGUGAACUCCUGCGGGCAACGGUAGGGAAUUUUGGACAAUGGAAACCACAGUCAGCCAUCCCGCAUUGAUGAAGCGCUGAGGUUGUAAACGCUUUGGCAAGGAAAAGAAACAGCGCAGGAUAAUACCCAAUCACAACUGAUGGCAGAACACCCUGGAGAUAACGGCUAACUACGUGCAUGUAUACAGUAAUACGUAGGUGCAACGAUCCAUCAGAUGCUGAGGCGUAGAAAGCGAUGCGCGGAAACGGUUCGGAAAGAUCGCGAAAUCCCGAGCUUAACACGGAACACAUUUUUAACUACCGAGCUAGUGUGUCAGGAGGUGGGAAUUCACGCGUGUAGCAGUGAAAUGCGUAGGUGUGGAGGAACACCGAUGGCAGGCAGCCUCCUGGGAUAACACUGACGCUCUCUGCGGCGUGAGGAGCGACAAGUUGCGAUCACCCUGGUAGUCCACGCCUAAACGAUGUCAACUAGCUGUACAGGGCCUUCGGGCAUGGUAGCGCAAGCUAACGCGUGGUUGACCGCCUGGGAGGCACGGUCCCAUAAGUUCGCUCAAAGGAAUUGACGAGGACCACACAAGCGGUGGAUGAUGUGGAUUAAUUCAAUUUGGCGCGAAAAACCUUACUACCUUGACAUGUCUGGAAUCCCGAAGAUUUGAGUGCUCCGCAAAGAAGAACCGGAACACAGGUGCUGCAUGGCUGUCGUCAAUGUCGUCUGAGAUCGCGGGUUAAGUCCCGCAACGAGCGCAGCACUCCCGUCAGUGGUGCUACACGAAGGGCACUCUAAUGAGACUGCAGUGACAAACGGAGGAAGGUGGGGAUAGCGUCAAGUCCUCAUGGCCCAUAUGGGUAGGGCUUCACACCCGUAAGCUGGCUGAUUGGACAAGGUCCGCCAUUGCGAGGGGGCCAAUCCCGAAACCCGAGAUCGUAGUCCGGAUCGCAGUCUGCAACCUCGGCUGCGUGAAGUCGGAUAUGGUAAUCGCGGAUCAGCAUGUCGCGGUGAAUACGUUCCGGGUCUUGUACACACCGCCCGUCGCACCGUGGGUGGUUUUACCAGAAGUAGUUAGCUGUAACCGUAAGGAGGCGAUUACCACGGUAGUUAUAGGCUGGGGUGAGAUAUUAACAAAGGUAA
rnacentral:rRNA from 1 species